GGGGGGGAGCUAUACAUGCAAGUCGAGCGAGCUCUUUUAACUUAAGGCCUUGCGUGGCUGGAAGCUUAAAGCGCGAGCGGAGCGAGUGUGAGUAACACGUGGGACACCUGGCCUUUAUGUUGCGAUACCACUUGUAAACUUGGGCUAAUACCGAAUAUAAAGCAAGAGCGCAUGCUCCCGCUAGGAAAGGCGGCUUUCGAGCUGUCACUAAAGGAUGGGCCCGCGGCGCAUUAGCUAGUUGGUAAGGUAACGGCUUACCAAGGCAAUGAUGCAUAGACGAGUUGAGAGACUGAUCGGCCACAUUGGGACUGAGACACUGACCAAACUCCUACAGGAGGCAGCAAGGGGGAAUCUUCCACACUGGACGCAAGUCUGAUGGAGCAACGCCGCGUGAGUGAAGAAGGUUUUCGGAUCGUAAAACUCUGUUGUUGGUGAAGAAGGAUGUAAAUAGUAACUGAUUCAUAUUUGACGGUUUCAACCAGAAAGUCACGGCUAACUACGUGCCACCAGCCGCGGUAAUACGUAGGUGGCAAGCGUUGUCCGGAUUUAUUGAGCGUAAAGCGAACGCAGGCGGGAGAACAAUUUGCUGUGAAAGCCCUCGGCUUAACCGGGGAAGUGCAGCUGAAACUGUUUUUCUUGAGUGCAGAAGUACGAGAGUGGAACUCCAUGUGUAGCGUUGGAAUGCGUAGAUAUAUGGAUAUAUCACCAGAUGGCCAAUGCGGCUCUCUGGUCUGUAACUGACGCUUAAGUUCUGAAAGCUCUGAAAUAGCGAGCAGGAUUAGAUACCCUGGUCGUCUG
rnacentral:rRNA from 1 species